rnacentral:tRNA from 1 species
GGUGAGGUGGCCGAGAGGCUGAAGGCGCUCCACUGCUAAGGGAGUAUGCGGUCAAAAGCUGCAUCCGGGGUUCGAAUCCCCGCCUCACCGCCA